CGUCGAGGUAGGCGACGGCCGAGCCGGCGGCCUGGCGGGCCACCCGGCCCGUCUCGAAACGGAUGGUGCGGGUACCGAACGUGCCGUUGUCGA
rnacentral:tRNA from 1 species